rnacentral:rRNA from 1 species
UACGAAGGGGGCUAGCGUUGCUCGGAAUUACUGGGCGUAAAGCGUGCGCAGGCGGUUUUGUAAGCCAGAUGUGAAAUCCCCGGGCUUAACCUGGGAAUGGCAUUUGGGACUGCAAGGCUGGAGUGUGGCAGAGGAGACUGGAAUUCCUGGUGUAGCAGUGAAAUGCGUAGAUAUCAGGAGGAAUACCGAUGGCGAAGGCAGGUCUCUGGGCUGACACUGACGCUCAUGCACGAAAGCGUGGGGAGCAAACAGG